rnacentral:rRNA from 1 species
UCGUUGGAGAGUUUGAUCCUGGCUCAGGACGAACGCUGGCGGCGUGCUUAACACAUGCAAGUCGAGCGGUAAGGCCCCUUCGGGGGUACACGAGCGGCGAACGGGUGAGUAACACGUGGGUGACCUGCCCUCAGCUCCGGGAUAAGCCUGGGAAACCGGGUCUAAUACCGGAUAGGACCUUGCCUCGCAUGGGGGGGGUGGAAAGUUUUUUCGGCUGGGGAUGGGCCCGCGGCCUAUCAGCUUGUUGGUGGGGUGAUGGCCUACCAAGGCGACGACGGGUAGCCGGCCUGAGAGGGCGACCGGCCACACUGGGACUGAGAC